UACGUAGGGUGCGAGCGUUGUCCGGAAUUAUUGGGCGUAAAGAGCUUGUAGGCGGUUUGUCGCGUCUGCUGUGAAAAUCCGGGGCUCAACCCCGGACUUGCAGUGGGUACGGGCAGACUGGAGUGUGGUAGGGGAGACUGGAAUUCCUGGUGUAGCGGUGGAAUGCGCAGAUAUCAGGAGGAACACCGAUGGCGAAGGCAGGUCUCUGGGCCACUACUGACGCUGAGAAGCGAAGCAUGGGGAGCGAACAGG
rnacentral:rRNA from 1 species